GGCAGCACAGGCAGAGGGGUUGAAACCUUCCUUGGGAGAAGGAUGCAAGGUCCGAGGGAUAGAUAUCAGCCCUUGGAGAAGACGAACAGGCAGAGGAGUCAAAGCCUGCCCUAAAAAAGGAGGCACAAGGAGAGGGAUGAUACCUGCCUGGAAGAAAGAGGACCGGCAGUUGGGAUGAUAACUGCCUGAGAGAAGGCAGGGGAGUCA